rnacentral:lncRNA from 10 species
AUAUUUUGUGCUCUCCCUAGCAUCUCAUGAAUCAUACCACUGAAGGGCUCUCUAGGGCCCUUGUAUAUAAGGCCAGUCUUGUGGCUUAACGUGACAAACGGGAACCAUCCUGAAUGGAAAAGCUCCAAGGUGACAGAAGGCAUCUCUGCCCCUGCUUCUCCCCCAGCCCCUUUCUGUUAGAAGUCACCACCAGGAGAAGAGGGACCCCUGCUGCAUGAACUCCAGGCUGUUCUGCUGGAAGGAAAGGUCAGGAGAAAGGACUGUCACCUGCCAGACCUCAGCAUCAGAGAAGGGAGUCAUGGACUCCUCUCUGUUCGUACUUCACGUCUCUUGGGGAUCCUCAGAAGAUAAUUCUACUGCUAAACUUCCUUUAUCUUCUAUUGCUAAUGAUUAACCACAGCAGCUCCAGGAAGCAAGAGGUGCCCCUUAAAAAUACAUGCGUAGGCCAAAAAGAAAGGUACGCCUAGAAUUCUACACAUCCAAAGUCUUAUCUCCCCACCUCUCCAAAGGGAGCAGCUACUCUUAGGUUGGGUAGGCAGCUUAAUAUUCAUUUCCCAGCCUCCGAGCACCACUUACUCUAGAGGUAGCUCAGAGCAGGUGGCAGCUCUGGGAAGUGCCUGAGAGCUCCCAAGAGUGGGUGGCUGCUCCCCAGAGGAUGCUGCCCGAGUGGUGGUAUGAACAGAGAGGAGGGAAAUGUCUGAAGGAAAGACAUGGAUUUCCAGAGCAUUAACAUAUGCUUUAAGGUACAGCUCCACACCUACCAUCCCCAGCCCUGUGGUUGCCUUGGAUAGAAAAAGAUCCCUUUGUAGAGACAACUGCCUUCCAGCUCACACUGGAACACUAGAGAACUUGAACUGCCUUUAUUUGUUGGUCAUGAUCCUUCUAAGCAUAGGAUCGAAA